rnacentral:rRNA from 1 species
UUCGCAAUGCCCGAAAGGGUGACGAAGCGACGCCGCGUGGGUGAAGAAGGCCUUCGGGUUGUAAAGCCCUGUCAGGAGUUAUGAAAUGUAAGUGCGCUAAUAUCGUGCUUAUUUGACAAAGGCUCCAAAGGAAGCCACGGCUAACUCUGUGCCAGCAGCCGCGGUAAUACAGAGGUGGCGAGCGUUGUUCGGAAUUAUUGGGCGUAAAGAGCACGUAGGUGGGUUUGUAAGUCAGAUGUGAAAGCCUUCUGUUCAACGGAAGAAUUGCAUCUGAAACUGCGAAUCUCGAGUAUAGGAGGGGAGAAUGGAACUUCUGGUGGAGCGGUGAAAUGCGUAGAUAUCAGAAGGAACGCCGGCGGCGAAAGCGGUUCUCUGGCCUAUUACUGACACUCAGUGUGCGAAAGCUAGGGGAGCAAACGGGAUUAGAUACCCCGGUAGCCCUAGCCGUAAACGAUGGGCACUAAGUAGAGGGGUUUU